CCAAAACAUAGAUGGAAGCCUGCAUUGGAGAGACACUUCUCUGCUGAGACCAGAUAGAAAAAACGUUUCCAUUUGGCCUGAUCAUUAAACUGAGAUGUCCCUUCACUGAGAGACUCAUCAUGCCCUAAGCUAAUGGACGUCCAACCAUAAUAGAACUCAGAAUGACUGUAAGGCACCCAAAAGAGGAAAAAACAAGGGAGAAGUGCUAACACUGCCCCUUCGUUCCGUCUUCGGCCGAGAAUGGUUGAGAAGGAACUGGAGGGCUCGGGUCGUGUGCAUGCCACACACAGCACCAAUGGCACCACGAGAUACCUACUGCGCACGCACAACCCACGUAGACACUGCUACCAUAAAUCUCCGAUCGAUAGCGCCAGGACACACUGCCACCUAAAACUGGAGCACUCACAGGGACACUAUUCAAAGAAGAACUAAUGUUGCCUGAAGCGAGGUCAUGCUCACCAUUUUCCUCUCGUCCACCAAAGCCAGAAAAUUUGUCUUGCCUCCUCUGGCAACUUGUUCAUAAAGUUUAAAACAUUGUCCCAGAGGGAAAAAAGCAGAACACCCC